rnacentral:rRNA from 1 species
CCUACGGGUGGCAGCAGUGAGGAAUAUUGGUCAAUGGUCGGAAGACUGAACCAGCCAUGCCGCGUGCAGGAUGACGGCCUUAUGGGUUGUACACUGCUUUUGUAUGGGAAGAAUAAGGGGUACGUGUACUCUGAUGACGGUACUAUAUGAAUAAGCAUCGGCUAACUCCGUGCCAGCAGCCGCGUUAAUACGGAGGAUGCGAGCGUUAUCCGGAAUCAUUGGGUUUAAAGGGUCUGUAGGCGGGCUAUUAAGUCAGAGGUGAAAGCACUGAGCUCAACUGAGUAACUGCCUUUGAAACUGAUAGUCUUGAAUACUUACGAAGUAGUUGGAAUGUGUAGUGUAGCGGUGAAAUGCUUAGAUAUUACACAGAACACCGAUAGCGAAGGCAUGUUACUAGUAAGUGAUUGACGCUGAGGGACGAAAGCGUGGGGAGCGAACAGGAUUAGAUACCCGAGUAGUC